GUAGGUUACGGGGACAUUUACCCUAAGACUGUGUUGGGCAAAGUUGUGGGCAGUGUUUGUUGUAUCUGCGGCGUGCUCGUCAUUGCCCUUCCAAUCCCCAUCAUUGUCAACAAU
rfam:Biomphalaria glabrata isolate BB02 linkage group LG4 unlocalized genomic scaffold LG4_random_Scaffold8, whole genome shotgun sequence.